UUUAUUGGAGAGUUUGAUCCUGGCUCAGGAUGAACGCUGGCGGCGUGCCUAAUACAUGCAAGUCGAGCGAAUUGAUUGAGAGCUUGCUCUCGAGAAGUUAGCGGCGGACGGGU
rnacentral:rRNA from 1 species